GCGUGGCGGCGGGCUUACACAUGCAGUCGACGAUGAUUAUCUAGCUUGCUAGAUAUGAUUAGUGGCGGACGGGUGAGUAACAUUUAGGAAUCUGCCUAGUAUUGGGGGAUAGCUCGGGGAAACUCGAAUUAAUACCGCAGACGACCUACGGGUGAAAGGGGGCGCAAGCUCUUGCUAUUAGAUGAGCCUAAAUCAUAUUAGCUAGUUGGUGGGGUAAAGGCCCACCAAGGCGACCAUCUGUAACUGGUCUGAGAGGAUGAUCAGUCACACCGGAACUGAGACACGGUCCGGACUCCUACGGGAGGCAGCAGUGGGGAAUAUUGGACAAUGGGGGCAACCCUGAUCCAGCCAUGCCGCGUGUGUGAAGAAGGCCUUUUGGUUGUAAAGCACUUUAAGCAGGGAGGAGAGGCUAAUGGUUAAUACCCAUUAGAUUAGACGUUACCUGCAGAAUAAGCACCGGCUAACUCUGUGCCAGCAGCCGCGGUAAUACAGAGGGUGCGAGCGUUAAUCGGAAUUACUGGGCGUACAGCGAGUGUAGGUGGCUCAUUAAGUCACAUGUGAAAUCCCCGGGCUUAACCUGGGAACUGCAUGUGAUACUGGUGGUGCUAGAAUAUGUGAGAGGGAAGUAGAAUUCCAGGUGUAGCGGUGAAAUGCGUAGAGAUCUGGAGGAAUACCGAUGGCGAAGGCAGCUUCCUGGCAUAAUAUUGACACUGAGAUUCGAAAGCGUGGGUAGCAAACAGGAUUAGAUACCCUGGUAGUCCACGCCGUAGACGAUGUCUACUAGCCGUUGGGGUCCUUGAGACUUUAGUGGGCGCAGUUAACGCGAUAAGUAGACCGCCUGGGGAGUACGGCCGCCAGGGUAAAACUCCAAUGAAUUGACGGUGGCCCGCACAAGCGGUGGAGCAUGUGGUUUAAUUCGAUGCAACGCGAAGAACCUUACCUGGUCUUGACAUAGUGAGAAUCCUGCAUAGAUGCGGGAGUGCCUUCGGGAAUCACAUACUGUGCUGCAUGGCUGUCGUCAGCUCCUGUCUGAGAUGUUGGGUAGUCCAC
rnacentral:rRNA from 1 species